GGGUGCUCCCUCGGGUGAAAAGCCCAGGGGAGCCGCAGUGAAAAGGCCCAAGCGACUGUUUAUCAAAAACACAGGUCUCUGCGAAGCCGUAAGGCGAAGUAUAGGGGCUGACACCUGCCCGGUGCUGGAAGGUUAAGGGGAGCGCUUAGCGCAAGCGAAGGUGCGAACCGAAGCCCCAGUAAACGGCGGCCGUAACUAUAACGGUCCUAAGGUAGCGAAAUUCCUUGUCGGGUAAGUUCCGACCCGCACGAAAGGUGUAACGACUUGGGCACUGUCUCAACGAGAGACCCGGUGAAAUCAUAGUACCUGUGAAGAUGCAGGUUACCCGCGACAGGACGGAAAGACCCCGUGGAGCUUUACUGCAGCCUGAUAUUGAAUGUUGGUGCGACAUGUACAGCAUAGGUGGGAGACUGAGAAGCCUGGACGCCAGUCUAGGUGGAGUCGCCGUUGGGAUACCACCCUUGUCGUACUGAGAUUCUAACCCGCACCCCUGAUCGGGGUGGGAGACAGUGUCAGGUGGGCAGUUUGACUGGGGCGGUCGCCUCCCAAAGCGUAACGGAGGCGCCCAAAGGUUCCCUCAGAAUGGUUGGAAAUCAUUCGAAGAGUGUAAAGGCAGAAGGGAGCUUGACUGCGAGACCUACAAGUCGAGCAGGGACGAAAGUCGGGCUUAGUGAUCCGGUGGUUCCGAAUGGAAGGGCCAUCGCUCAACGGAUAAAAGCUACCCCGGGGAUAACAGGCUUAUCUCCCCCAAGAGUCCACAUCGACGGGGAGGUUUGGCACCUCGAUGUCGGCUCAUCGCAUCCUGGGGCUGUAGUCGGUCCCAAGGGUUGGGCUGUUCGCCCAUUAAAGCGGUACGCGAGCUGGGUUCAGAACGUCGUGAGACAGUUCGGUCCCUAUCCGUCGCGGGCGUAGGAAAUUUGAGAGGAGCUGUCCUUAGUACGAGAGGACCGGGAUGGACGCACCGCUGGUGUACCAGUUGUCCCGCCAGGGGCACAGCUGGGUAGCUAUGUGCGGAAGGGAUAAGCGCUGAAAGCAUCUAAGCGUGAAGCCCCCCUCAAGAUGAGAUUUCCCAUCGCGUCAAGCGAGUAAGAUCCCUUGAAGAUGACAAGGUAGAUAGGUCCGAGGUGGAAGCGUGGCGACACGUGUAGCUGACGGAUACUAAUCGAUCGAGGACUUAACUAAA
rnacentral:rRNA from 2 species